GGAUUCCGAUAGCUUUUCGUACAUUCUGAUGGAAGCGUAAGCCAUGGAGACUCCGAAUUCUUGUCCACUUAAGCACAUCAGAUGUGGACUCAGAAGACGUGCCUGAGCCCUGCACAUGAGGAUGCGAAAAUGCCCUAAAGGGACACAACCUCAUUCUCCUGAAGAUUAAACAAAACCGGCAGUCCUUAGCAGGAAGAAACUUGAAAUUUUUGUUCCACAGAUGACCAGAUGACCCAGAAGGAAUCAACAGAUAUAAUACUGGACUCGAUAAAUACCUUGACCAGGAACCAAUAUCACCAACUGAACCGACUGAACCAAAUCAUACCAAUUACUGUGACUGAACUCUUCUAAGAACACAGUGAAAUGGACAAAAAAAUAUGCAGCCAGUGAAAAAGGAAUUCAACAUUUUGAUUUGGUUUGUUAUUUUCAACGCUGAUUUUUAAAUUACUCAGGAGACUAACAUCAUAUUUCAACAUACUAGAUACUGUGAAAGCAGACAGCUAAAAUGCUGUUUAUUUCAGUCACCGUUUCCAAAUUGUACCCUGCAGGAAAGUGGAAUAUAUUUAACUUUGGUGUAAACAAAAGCAGUGUUUUAGGUAGAAAAUACAGGAAAAGAGGAUCACUCGAUAACUGAUUUGCCAAGGGAAUUUAAAAGUUCUAUGGAAAUAUUUUUAAACAUAUUUUUUCUUUGAGAAAAGCUAACCAUGUAAAAAUGCACCAGAUUAAAGCUAAGUUCCUUCAGAAAUACUGCAUUUGUUAUCUGGUUAUGGAACAUCUCCUUCUAGAACUGCAGUUAAUUAAACAUGCAAGGUGAGUUCCACCGUGUGUGCUGUUUGUCCUCCUACAAAAUGGAAGCAUGGUACUUAUCAGAAGCCUGCUAUUUCACUGUAGUUCUCUGAAUAACUGAAAAUAUCAUUGUUGCAAUAAUGAACACCCCUUGACUGUUUUACACACACCAGGUGCUAUGCUAAGUACUUUGCAUUCACCAUCUCAUUUAACUCCCCAACAACCCAAUGAGGUAGAAUAUAUCUGCUUCCCUCUUUUACAGACAAGAAAACAGAGUCUGAGAGAAUUAGAAACUUCCAAGUUUAGGAAGAAAUUAAGCAAUGCCCCCUAAAUCAUACAGCUAGUAAACUGUACAUGUCCGAACUAUACCAGGUUAUCUUCUCACCAAGUAUAUGAAAUAAUUAAACUUACUACUUUCUUUCCUUGAAAAUCAAAUAUCUCACGGUCAAGUCAAAUUAGGAAGAUUUUGAAGUUAAUUCUGUA